rnacentral:lncRNA from 1 species
CCAGUAGUAUGCUCAAAUUAAAUUCUAAGAUUUCCAGAAUAUUUAGGCCAUGGUGAGAGAUGUCCUCUGUUCUGGCUGGAUGACAUACCUUCUAUAAGUUUACCCCUAUCAAAAGCAAAGAAUCUACAUUUCUUUUUUUUUUCCUUUUUUUUUUUUUUAAAUCUACAUUUCUUUUAAUUUGCUUGUUCUAGUGUGAAACUUCACUGUUGGAUACUUUUAGGGAAUAUAUAACCAUGUUUAAUUCCCUUCUUAUUAUAUUCUUCAGAUGAUCUCAAAUGAGCUACAUCAUUGCUUAUGCAUCCUACAGAGAUAAUCACCAAAGAGUGAAUUUUGGCUGAUAGACACUGAUGCCUGGAAGACCAAUCAAAAUGAAGAGCCAGAGUCAAGAUCCUGAUUCCCUUCCUGCCAUCACGUCCAAAGUAGCCUUUUUCAUGCAUCCAGCCUAGCUUGUUGCAUAGAAGAAAAAAAAUAAGAGCUCACCAGCCCUCUGAGAACUGUAUUUAACUCAGGUAAGCCUACGAGAACUAUGUUCAAGUGUCCUCUUUCUUGUAUGAUGAGAAACAAACA